GUGAGUUAUCUCCUGAGUGAGCUCUUUCUCCCUGCUGAGUAGGAGGGCUGUUGUAUGGAGAGAACAGAAACAGUCAAUUUUUCACAUUGUGCCAAACUCUUGAAGACUUCAUUGAAAACUGAUUUCAACUUUGGAGGCAAGAGUUGUCCCCGGUGGCCACUGUACAACUAGAAUUUUUUCUUGUUCUAGCACUGCUCUGUUUUUCUGUCAAAUCCAUGUGAUUGACCUCUCCAGCCCCCUUCAGAUGGGACUCUUCAUGCACCUCCGUGGAGAUAUCCAGCAGACGUGGGUCAGGAGCUUUGUUUAUAUUUCUGCUUUUUGUCCUUUUGUUGCAUGCCCUUGCUUGUGUUUAUUCCUGCAGGCUGGACUCUUUCAGGCAUUUGUAUUAUGCCUCUAAGCUCAUUUCUCUGCUAUAGUGAAAGGCAGCUCCCUUAAGACUUUGGCAAGCAUUGCACAAGAAAACAAAGGCCUGUUCAACUUGCUGCUGGGAGACAAUAUUUACUCUCUGACUGACAUGUGUGCACUUCCCUCAUGAAACUUCAGCUGUGUUGCAGUACUGGUGUACUGGAAGAUGGAAUUCUCCUUGAAAAUAAUCUAAAUCAUGUUGUAUAAAAGUAGGGCUUAGAGAAACAGGGCAGAAACAGAGCUAUUUCUUAGUUGAGGGCUUUCAUCUUAAUAUAAAACACAUUAGAGCAAACAGGUAAGAGGUAAAGGAUUCUUACACGCUUUGGUGUCACAGCUUAUGCCACCUGAGAACAUCUCUUCACACUUCUGCCAUAGCUUGUUAGGAUGGGACAUUCUCCUGUCACUCCUGGUGUUAUUUUGUUAGAUUCCUACCCCAGAUGACCCAACUUGAGUUGCUUACAGCAGAAAUACCCUUUUGGUCAAGAAAGAUAAUGUUAAAAGGCAAUCACACGUUUGCCCCACUUUCAGUUUCUCAGCAGAAUUAUUGUGGUACCUGCUGUUGUUGUUUCUUAGAAGAAAUCCCUACUCCAGCAGAGGGAAAAACAAGACUUUGAAUGUAGCUCACCCAGCAUGCGAUUUAGUCAUCGCAGAAUCAUUUGAGUUGGAAGGGUCAUUUAAAGAUCAUCUAUCCAGCUCUUCUGCAAUGUACAGGGACAUCUACAGCUCGAUCAGACAGUUCACUGUUCCAGGUCCCCAGGAAAUAUGGAAACUGCUCCCUUCCUGAGCCUCCUUCAGCCUACUGAAGAUGGAUUGGGCAUUUGGUCAAACCCAUCAGGUGCUCAUCAGCCCUGGGAAAUGUCACUUGUCCUCAGCUCUCAGAUGAGGCCCAGGAAGGAUGAAAUUAGAAAAGUCAGAAGUGAGGUGGAACUGCUGUGGGAGUGAAGGCUAAGAAUAAGGAUUGCUAUAGUGUCGGGAGCUGAGUGACAGAUGCACACUGAUGGAGCACAGUGCAUUGAUUUUUGCUGCUGCAGUACUUUAUGCUCAAAGAAAUACAGCUUUUAAAGCGAUGGAGGACCCCUAUUCAGAGAAAACAGGAGGCUCCUCAGCAAUGCUGCUUUUCCAAUGGCAGCCACUCUAAGAAAUUCCUGUUUCCACCUUCCUCAAGCCAUGGCUUUCUGCUCCUGGAUGUCAGCUCCGUUCUUUGAGCUGGGCACUCCUGAACCUGUUGUACUUCAGAAGUUGUAUUUUCCCUGGAGAAGCAGCAGAAACCCAGCCACCAUGUGUUCCUUGUGCUACACCAUGCUAGAGGGAUACAACAACUCAGUGACUGGUGCCAAAUGAUCAUUCCAUGUAUCUGUGCAUCAGUGAUUUGGGGGGUUUGCAGUGCUGGCUGAAAUACGCAGGCCAGCUGCCUGCCGGUGGCAGCAGGAAAACAGGCAGACAAAGCAGAUGGACCCAGCAGGGGUGGAGGAGCGCUGUCUUCAGCGGGCCAUAGGCAUCACUGAAGAGUAAACAGCUCUCGGAAGGGAGCCGGGAGCUAACCCCAAACCCGUCCUCUCCAAAGUACUCAAUCACAGCACAUUAACAAGAGCGCCUGGACUGCUGGGGGAGAGUAAACAAUGAGAGGCCGUGCUGGCGGGAGAGUGGGAAAAGCGCAGCCCCCCUCCAGCUCAGAUUUAUUGAGGACAGAAGAGGAAAUGGUUCAUUUUGAAGAUGUGCCAUGAUAGGCAAUUCGAGCUUGCUUAUCUUUUCACACAUGCCAGCUUGGAUAACCUGGGUGGAAAACUGAAGUGAAGCAAAGACCUCAGCCUCUCACAGCUCUGGCAGCAGUCACCAGUGCCCUGCUGGAGCUGAGCUCUUGGGGAACACCUUGACCCCAGACUAAGGACUGGAGGUGACUGCUACACUGCUGUUUUAGGGAUCUUGAGAACUGUAAGUGCUCUAUUUCCUAGAGCAAACAAAAAAUGCUGCUCCUGUCUGCCCUUCAGAGGCACCCAGGAGGUAUCCAAGUCAGCCCCUAGUUUUGGGAAUGAGUUUGCCCUGUUCCCUGGGAUAUGAUGGUCUGCCACUCAGGAGGAGUUCACGGAGCACGCCAUAUUCCUGACUGCCCAGUAGUAUUCUAUCAGCUCAAUAUAGGCCUGAUGUUGUAUUAAGGAGAAAAGCUUUCCGGCCAGCAGUAGUGAUGCGUGAAGUUUCCUCAUUGACGGACCACAGAAUGCUUUGGGGCUGUUGGAAGAUGGGUUUUGUAUGCAGCACAUUUUGCAUCUCGGUGUUGUUCUCCAGAGCUGUUUGCUAGCAAAUUGCCAGGAUUUGAAAUUCAGGUAGGUUGCAGGAUGAAAAAAUAUCCUUCCCCACAUUGCUAUGACCUUUUUGGUGGUUUAUUUGUUAAAGGCAUUACUGUUCCCCUCGGGAAUGGUGCCUUCCUCUGUUUUAUGCUCUAAGGAUGUGGCUCUUUUCAUGUUUAUCUUUGAUUCAAGCAUUGUAAAGAGCAAUCCCUCGCACUUAUGUGCUUCAUUGUAUUCUGGCCAUGAGAGAUUCUCCCCCACUGUUUGUAGCCUUUUUUCAGUGCAGCUAGUAAAAUAUUUGAACAGAAAAAAGAAAAAAAAAAAAAAAGAAAAAAGGAAAGAAAAAAAAAGAAAGAAAGAAAAGAAAAAGAGACACUAAACAGCUUCCAGCAUUUAGAGGAUAAAAUGAGAUGUAAGGAAAAGGAUGACUGUGGUUAAUGCACAGGGCUGGGAGGCCUCAGAUGGACCACGGCCUCUCUUCGUUUCUCUUCUCACUUCCUCUGUGACUUUGUCUAAGUUAUUUGACCUCCUCCUGCUGUAGCUCUGGGGUGUUAAACACACGCUGUGUUUUCUGCUUGGAAAACCCAAGCUUGCUGUCCCCAGAGAGCUCAGCGCUGCCCCUCUGCUCCCUAUGAGGAGCUGUAUGGCCAUGAGCCCUCAGCAUCCUCUGCUCUGCUCCCAACAAACCCAGGGCCCUCAGCUGCCCCUCACACCCCUUGUCCUCCCAUGUGAAUGCCUGUCAGCAUGUGAUACAGCCUGGUUUUCUUCCCUGAUUUCAGAUGACACAUGGAAGCUGAUUUGCACAGGGUGGAUGCAAACCAAGGGCUCAUCCACUGAAAAAUAAUUAAGCUUCACUUGGUUACAGCAGGCAAGCUGGAAUACAAAGAUCCUAAGGCUGGUUAUGGGAGGGUGGUUAAGGGGACACCUCCAGUGGGCAAGAGUCUGUUGUAGUCCAGAUAAGCCCUCACAAUUCAGAGUUUUCUUAAAUUUCUGGGGCAUAAUGGCACAGCUGGCGACAGAGCACCAAGUGAAUAUUUGACAUAAAUAAACCAGUGUUCCUACGUGGGAGAAGGGCAGAGGGAGCCUGUGAAUUAAUGAUCAGCUUUUAAUUUGUCCUUUCAUUGGAAUCAAUGAAAAUGUCAGGAUGAUUGAGGUUUAUGUGCUCAUGGGAAAGAUGUGAGCCCAAGAGAAAGAGAUCAAGGCUAUUUUUUAAUAUAUUUGUUUCACUGAGGAAGAUGCUUCCCUUCAUCUCUAAUACCGGAGAAGGAUUUGCUGUGGGUGAAUUCCUGAGAAAGCCUGGGCAGUGUGUAUUGGAACGGGCUGCCCAGGCAGGUGGUGGAGUCACCGUCCCUGGAGGUGCUCAAGAACUGUGGAGACGUAGCACAGGGAGGGAUGUGGUCAAUGGGCAUGGUGGGAUGGGUUGACAGUUGGACUAGAAGACCUUAAAGGUCUUUUCCAACCUUUACAAUUCUAUAAUUCUGUAAUUCAUUCAAGUCUCAGCAGAGACCUGCCACCUUCAAGCUGUGGGCUGCUGGUUGUCCUUGGGCACAGGGUUCAGCCUACCUGGUGCUGGUUUUUCUGGCUGCAGGCAUAUCCUGUUUGCUCACCCCAGUGCGAGAUCUGCUGUGGAAGGCACAGGGCUGGGUGCAGUUCAGGAUGGCAGCAGCAAAAUGAGAGCCUCAAGAUCCUGGUUUGAAAAGGGUGGAUUCUGCUGAUGGAUGUAAAAAGCUGGCACUAAUGUCCUGGAGGCAGAACCACCUUUGGAUCAUGACUGCUGGAAACACUGAUGUUUGAUCACCUGAAACGGGCACCUCCAUCCUUUUCUUCUGCCAAAACAGGGGAUUCUGCAUCCCUGCAAUGUUCAGCCAUACAAACCUCCUGUUCUAGCCACUCAUUUCUUGUCACAAUGCUAUUAGUAAAGUAGUCAAGUGAGUGGGCAAGGGUUUAGCUUCCUAUAGGAGGAAGGGGGAGCCUGCAGGGUAAACAGUGGCCUGGAGUGGUGGAUUCAUUUGCAUGUUUCCUCUGUCUUGAUGGAGGCUUCACGCAGCCCCUUGGCACUGAGAACGUGUCUGCAAACUGCCAGGCACGCUUUGGCCUAAUUAAAUAUUCAUGGUGACAAAAUGCCACAAACACAGGGGAGUUUUCAGCGAAUGCUUCACCGCAGUUAGCAGACACCCUGCUCACUCCUGCAGGGCUCUUGUGACGCGUUCCCACCCUCCCUCCACACUCACCUGCUCACCUUGCUCUGCACCAAAACCAGGGCAAGGAUGAGCCGGGCUUUUGCAUCUCACAUCUGCUUUGUCUCAGGGCAUCAGUCCCCCAGAUACGUUUAUUUUGUCUUUGAGGGACCUGAUACUGCAGCCAUUGCUCUGCUCUGUGGGUUCUGGAGAUGAGUUGAGGUCUUCUGCAGGUGGAUCACAGCCAGAAUGUGACCCGCAGCUCCUUUCUUCUGCACAUUGGCUCAGGCUGGCUUUUUGUUACAGAAACGUUGUCAUUCCUGACACUUCCAGACAUGAGCAACGCAACCCCGUUCCUGCCAGCAAACACAGCCCUCAACGAGAGCUUCUGUGAUAACAUCAGCUCCGCUGCUGCUGCUUUGUUUUUAGCCUUCUCAGGAACUGACCUCAUAGUUUCCUAAUUUAGAGCUGGUGACACAGAGCACGGGGAACGUGCGUGCUCAACACCUGUGGUGACGAUGCCAGCAGGACACCUUCCGGCAACCUGCCCUGAGCCAAAGCCGUGUGCCAGUGGCUGAUGAGCUUCUCUAGUGGCCCCAGCAGGCACGGGUUUAACCCAAAUAAGGAUCAACUAUCACACCAACCUGGCAAUAGAAGGGCAGAAGUGAGAGUCGAGGUCCCGGUUUCCAGCUACAUUUCUCAUUUAAGAACAUUUCUCUUUUGAAAUGAUAUGCUUUACUUGCAGAAGGGAGAAAGAUGGAUUUCCAGCUGAUCCCUCAAGUCAGCCUAAUAACCAUCCUGCGACCUCUCUGCUCCUCUCUGCUUUAGGGCACAUGCUAAAAGCCUUACUGCUCCACAGUAGUUUACUCAGAGUGAAAGUGUCCCACAAAAUCCUUAUUUUGUCUUCUUUGUCUCCCCACAUCCCUCCCAGCCAUGGGAUUUACAUCCUCUCUGAGCUGCUUGGUCUUUUUAGCUCCUUGUUGUUACUACUCUUGCUGCUCUUGUUAUUGACAUGUCCACCCAGCGUUAAACUUUUAACUUGUAGAGCUGUACCUGGGCAGUGAACGGUGUGCAUAAAUCAUAGAAUGGCUUGGAUUGGAAGUGACCACAAAGACCAUCCAUUUCCAACCCCCUGCCAUGGGCAGAGUUGCCAGCCACUAAAAAGCGCUUUAUGUAAAACCCAAGGCAACAGAAAUACUCCAGGGAGCUGAUUUUUAGUGGCUUUAACUUUCCAGCUGGUUAUUUAGCCAUCUUCACCAGAAAGUUGUCUCAGUGAAAUGAGAACUCGCCCACAUUCAGGAUAAACUCACGGUUCUUUCACUUUAGUUUUUUUGGUUUCGGAAAAUGUCGCGCUGUCUGUGGUGGUGGAUGUGUGUGUGUGUUUUAUUUUCCGUGUGUGCCAUCCCUGCAUAUGUCUUGGAUUGCUUCAGAAGCUGUAAUAGCAAAACAAGCUUUUUCUUUAUUCAAAAAUAGAAAUGGAAUGAUCAAACAGCUCAGACUAGGGCUAUGCGUAAUGCUUUAUUUUUUAACCAAUUAUUUAGUAGUUAUCAAUAACAAUAACUAUUAUUACCACGACUCUCUAUGCUCUGGCUUUCCCCAUCACUCCUUAGAGUAUUUGCAAAACACUGUGAAAGCCCAUUCCUGUUUGUUUUCCGCCCAAUGAGGAUGUUGUGAAUUCUGCUGCAAUCUGCCUGGAGGUUUUGGGAAGCCAAAGACAGCAGUUUGUGCAGUGCACUGGAAGACCACAACCCCGCACAGCUCUGGUAUGGGGGAUGCUGCAGUAAGGCACAGAGUUUGCUCUUACACUGCCUCAGUGGAGAUGUGCAUUUUGUUCAUGCUCAAUUACUGGGUCCUUUAGGUGAAUAUCACAGGGAUGCUUUGAAUUUUGGGCGAGGAGUGCUGGCACUUGCAAAUGUAGCAUAGUGGGAUUGGUUGGCUUGAGCAAGGAGAACCUGAGACCUAAGGAACAGUAGUUGGUAGCAGACGGCAUCUUCAGUAGAAGUCCUGCAGGAAGGAAGGGAAUCUGCAUAAACCUGUUGUGAAUUUAGGGUAGAAAUCAUUCUAGGCAACUGGUUUUGUUGCAACUGCACUGAUAUUUGAGUUGACAAAGAGGAAAAAACCCCAACUAACUAAAAGUCGUCAGGCUCUGUAUUCUUGGAUGGGGCUUUGUUGAUCUUUCAAGUGGAUUCCCCCCCCUCCCCUUGAAUUUGGCACACUUAGCACAACAGAAGCGAAGAUGAUACGCAUGUUUUAUAACAGUAAUGCACAUAGCAAGUUUAAAGUCAGUUUAUCGAUGUCUCUCCUCCUUUCUCCCUUUUCUGUAUUUUCUGUUGUUCUCCAUAUGAGUUCUGCAGCCUCAGCUGAGAAACUUGAUGUCAUUUUGUUGAGGGAACAGCAAUGACAUUUUCUUUGGACAGAACUGACAUACUUGCAUUUCUGGUGUCCAGGAGAAAAUGACAGCCAGAUAGUUUCUUUCCUGCACAUCACUUCUCAAAUCCUGGCCGUGCCCAUAAGAGCAUUUAUUUAGAAGAAAAUUUACUUUCAGAGGGGAACUGCCACAGCUAAGCCUAAUUACAAGGAGCUGAAUGCAUGCACACUUGGAUGUAAUGGAGACCCCAUGAAAAACAAUAGCUUCUGCUCCCCUAAAGUUGUUGGCUACUGCAGUGGAUGUAUCAUGGGGCACAACAGCUGUGUGCAUUCACAUCUUCAAGCAUCCAAUACAAAAAAGGUUCACAGUGCCCAGUAUUUCUACAGCAGACAAGGUCAUGCAGUUCACAGCCAGAAAGUUCAGAACUGCAGAGGUGGGGAAGGCAGUCCUAUGCAUAGGUCUUGCUUUAGCAUCUUAAAAGUGAAUGUCGUCCCCAUGAAUACAAUGUCUGUUCAUGAGGCAUAAACCCAAGAGUGGACCACCUUGGCUUGGUGCAUCGGCAACUUCUGGGAUGGCGUCAAAAAGGAUACAGCACUGGUUUUGGUUGUUGGCUGUUGCUUGCUUAGUGUUUUCUACUGAAUUCCAUGAAGCCGAGCUGAGUUACAUCUACCAAAACCAAAUCCAUCUAAUUUUUUCCACUCGCCUCUUAUGUUCGGGCUUGAUGUAUUAUGUCUGGAAGCAAACAGUUAGAAUAAGAUGCAUUUGCUAGAUUGUGUCUUUUCAUUAUCGAGACAGAAGGAAAAGGCAGUUGACAAAGUUUCAGCAGACGGUGCAUAGUUGUUGUUUAUGUUAAACAAAACGAGAAUGUGCAGCAUUCGGGUGUAUAAACAGCAUGACAGCAAUAAGCAUAAAACAUAAGAUUGGAAGCAGAUUUUACUUUCAGGCCUUGGGGAGCAGAUGGAUCUGAGAUCAUUGUGCAUUUGCGUACAACUCCGAGACCUAUAGAAACUCAUUUAUUCCCCAUGUCGAGGCAUUUCACAGGAGUCAAAUGUAGCACGGCUGCAAAUGGAUGCAGCUCCACUGAACAUAAUGGGCUGGACCCAAGCACCUAGAUCUGUCUCUUAAAUUGCUCCAGCAGCACUAAGGGGAUGGAAAGCUGCUUUAGUCUUGCAGUCAGAGAUUGCCUUGUCAUCUUAAUGUUCAGGUGGCAUAAAGAUGAGGCAGCCCCUAUUUGCAUCUGCUCUGUGUGCAGGCUGGAGGCAGCCAAGUGGGAAAGGAGCUGCAGUCAGUGGAGGCUGCUCUUCUGAACUUGCACAGAGGCUGGCUUCCACCCCAUACAUAAGAUAUAUAAAUAUAAAUAUGUAUACACAUACAUAUAUAUAUGUAUAUAAAAGAUGCAUUGUAUAUAAAAGAUGCAUAUUGAUAUAUGAAGGCUUAUUAAGAGUGGUGAGGCACUGGCACAGGUUGCUCAAAGAUGUGGUGGAUACUCCAUCCUUGGAGACAUUCAAGGUCAGGCUGGAUGGGUUUCUGUGGAGUUGUUGGUGUCCCUGUUCAUGGCAGGGAGGUUGGAAUAGAUGACCUUUGAGGGUUCCUUCCAACUCAAACAAUUCUACAAUUCUGUGAUUCUAAUUUUUCCUCGUUUGCUCUUUUCUUACCCCAUCCCUGAAUUCGCACCACGCUGAGCACAGCUGGCAGUGGAGAGGUGGCUCAUGGAAUGGAGUCACAGCCGUUUGUACCUGUGUGCUUCAGGACUGAUGCUGUAGGACAGAACAGCACUCAAGCCCACUCUCUGUACAAUGGUAGAGACAGAGACAUCAUUUCUCAGUUUCAGAGGGCCAACUGGAUCACUUCAAAGGCUGCCCUGAUUCGACACUUGCAGAGGCAGGAGCGCACAGGUUGCCCAUUGUGUAUGGCCCCGAUUCCCUGGCAGAACUGCGUCAUUGAAGUGAAGGACAUAAUGAGGGAUUUCAGUCCCAAGCAGAGACCAUCCAAGCAGGUGGGAAAGCGAUGGGCCAGCGUCCAACCUUCAGAGCACAGACCAAAGAGAAGCUGUUUUAAAUAGCAACAAUGGCUCUAAUCCCCCGGCAGGAUGGAGAGAUGCAGAUUGGUAAAGGGAAGAAAAGGCAGAAAAUAGCAACUGCAGAAAGUGUGUAUAUGUGAGAAUCCCUUUCAGGAUGCGUUAAUAGGAUGCAGUGAAUAGGAAGAAGAGACCCCAGAGCGUGUUUAAAACAGAUUCCUGGUAUAAUAUGAACCACUGUAAUGAAGUGCUGUACAAAAGAAAUAAUAAAAAACUAUCACUGUAGUCCGUAGUACUGGCUGCGUUCAGUGUUUAACCGCAUCAGAACCUUUCAUUAACUAAGAGGCAGAAUAAUACAGGCAAACAAGAGGGCAAUUGGAGGGAAGAAUAUUAGAACCAUGAUGGGGGCCCGGUGAGGUUUCUCCCAUGGCGGCUCCAAGAAAUGAGGGCCCACGGAAGAGAGAAAGCCCACCUGCAAUGCUUGGCUUGGCAGAGCACCUUCAACAACGGUGUGGGUAUGCGCUCACCUCCUCCGUCACAGUUCUCCUGCAGUGAUUCGUCUGCAGCAGCCGCUCGCCUCCGAGUGAGGAGUUUUAAU
ensembl:lncRNA